UCCCCGGCGAGAUCAUGGACCUGAUGGUCGCCAAUACCGCGGUGGUGAAGGAGAAUCCGGAUUUUGCCAAGGCGCUGGUCGGCAUCUGGUAUGAGACGAUCACCAAGAUGAACGCGGCGGGCGCUGAAGGCAAAGCGGCGAAGGAAGCCAUGGCCAAGGCGUCGGGCACGGAUCUCGCCGGCUUCGACAGCCAGCUCGCAUCAACAAAACUGUUCGACAAGCCCGCGGACGCGGAGGCUUUCGCCAAGAGCAAGACUGUUGGGACGACGAUGGACCGCGUACGUAAAUUCCUGUUCGAAAAAGAAUUGCUCGGCAAGG
rnacentral:misc_RNA from 1 species